ensembl:lncRNA
CCCCAAGUGGUUGAACUACAGAAUUACAGCUAGUUUUUUGGAGGUUACAUAAACAAAAAAAAAUAUGCAGACAAGAGUACCGAUUGGGUGAAGGUGCAAUGGUGCAUACACACGACACGAACAUAUUCAAAUCAUCAUUAUGAAUUGAUCCAAGAUUCACUGCUAAGGGGCUUGACCACUUCCACUGGUAGGAGCCAUCUGGUAACAGGUGUUUUUUGUGUCCGGAGAUCCCUGCAGGAAAGGCACCACAGAAUGAUGGAUUUUACCAGUGGAUUCAAAACCAACACUUCUCAUACUUCAAACAGACAGAGCUCUACCACCACUUCUCCCUCUGCAGAGAGCUGCUCCAGGUACCCUCCUCAUGUCAGCUCAAAGGAUAUUAAGGAGAAGACUUGGGGACCUUCUGCGUGAGAGUGGACCACUUGCUUCACAUGGCCCUUCGGAGGGACCCAGGCCAGAGGGCUCACUACCAGGCCCACUACGCCUUCAUCAAGGCCUUCCAACUCCCGGUGGGCUCCAGCAUCAUGGCCGCCUGUCGCCUCACCUAUGAUUCUGGCUCGUACGUUCUACUGAUUCUUUGAAGAAGAGGACAAAUGUCUUCCCACACAUCUGGUUGGUAUCUCAAUGGGAAUGUCCCAUUGAAAUUAAAAAACAAUUUUUCAAGGUAGUCCUGGCCAAGAGGCAGCAAAAAAGACAGCAAAAAGCAAAAGAGUUGUCAGUUGUUGGUGCACAGCGCCCCCCGGGGGACGGGAUGCGCCGAGGCAGAAGGUGUGGCGGAUAAGGGUGUUGCAGGAACCUGGGUCAGCGAUCUUCUGCUACACUGCAGUGGUACCUCUGAACGAGGGCUCCCCUUGGGGGACGUCAGGCGAGGGGCGACCAUCCAUCUGGACUACAAGAAGCAUGAGAAAGAAACGUUCUUGGAAAGCCGUCAGCAGGCUCAUCCGAAGCAUCUGUCCAUUUCGACGUCGCACCAUGAGGAACUCUGAAACGUGGACCCCGGUUUUGAGGCCUACCUCGUACACCGGCGGGCUGUUUACUCCACAAGCACGCGGUUUUAUAGAUGGACACUUUCUAACGAUCCGUCUCUGUGUCGUUAGGGAGUCCGUCCUGUAUUCGUGGACAGGCCUACAUGGCCUCCAUUUUAAAGGGGUGAUAUUAUGCCACCAGGUAUGAGUCUGACUAGCCAUUACAGGCCUUUCCCUGUGUUUGGUGACCUCAGUAGUGGGCGUGUCCACCUAGAUGUAUGUUGGAUAGACAAGCAACAAUUUGCCACAGUCCACACUAGGUAGGCUGGUGGAAUGAUCUAUCCAGCAUAAAUCUAGGUUGACAUACCAACUAAUGAAGUCAAUAGGGAACAGGGAAGGCUGAUUUUCAAACGGCUUGUAACGGCCAAUCACCCCCACACCUGGUGGAAUGAUAUCGCCCCUUUAAAUCGCAUGUCGUGUUGUAUUUGACCACCGUACCGCAUGCACCUUCAGGAGGCCAGCGUGCCCUGCUGACAGAGAUGAGCCCUCAGAAGAGAGAGACUACAGCUCGCUCAAACUGAAGGCUGACGUCGUCGUUGAUUCUAUCUCCUGCGCUGAAAUGUUCGACCGGCUCAGGGAGUUUCGACCGAGGCAGCCGUGGUGGGCAUGUGACUUAAUGUCAGCAGCACACAACUCUGGACGCACGUGACAGCCAGGGAGAAGGAUCGCUCCCCUCUGUCUCUGGGCCUCCACUCCUUCACCAGGGUGGUAUCUCACCCCCUUCC